rnacentral:lncRNA from 1 species
AGGCAAGUAGCUGCAGUGAUGGCUGCCAUCGAUGCUGGUACCGCCGCUUCAAUUGUGCCUACGUGUACCACAGUGAACAAAGCUGGGGGAGGGAUCCACCAGAAAAUCCAGGAAAGGGUUGUGAAAUGAGAUGACCUCUUCACUGUCAGCAAGCUAUGGUGCAUGUUUCAUGAAAAGCCUCAGAUGACGGGAGCCUGCCAGAAGACUCUUGAUGACCUGAAACUGCAUUACCUGGAUCUCUGCCUUAUCCACUGGCCUCUUGGGUUCAAGGCAGGAGAGGAGCUUCCCACCGAUGACAAAGGCAUGUCAAUACCCAG